rnacentral:rRNA from 1 species
AUGACUGAAAAAGCGGUGUGGGAUGAUCCAAAUCUUAAGAAACUCAUAGAUAUAUUCAAAGAAGAGGUUGAAAAUGGGAAUAGACCCAUAAGUUAUUUAAAUAAGAAAAGUUGGAAGAAUGUUUUGGAGAAAUGGGAAGCAAGAACGGGAAAGAAGUAUCCCAAGGAUAAAUUCAAGAACAAAUGGGAUGCAAUAAAAAGUGACUAUACUUUUUUCAUGGAUUUGAAUGAAGCAACCGGGUUUGGAUGGGAUGAUGCAAAGAGAACCGUUGUUUGCUCUAAAGAAUGGUGGGAUGAACAUGUUGCGAGAUGCCAGGAGAGCACAUGAAAUAAAUGCAAUCAUUUGAAGUUCAAAUGGCAGGGACCGAAGCAUCUUGAAGAUUUACACGUCAUUUUUCACAAUGUACAUGUCACAGGGGCUAGUGCUUCUUGUGCUGGAGAUAUAUCAUCUGAUGAAUCAAGUGAUGAUAAUGUGGUUCUUUUGGAGAAACCCGAUGAUAGUGAUGAAAUGAAGUUGGCAUCUUUGAAGAAACCAAAAACAACCAAGAAGUGCAAGCAACCUUCGAUCAAAAACGAGGAGAAGGAAGAGAAGAGUCCUUUCCUCCGAUUGUACAACUAGACAUGCAAGAAGAUAGAAAGUGGAGUGGAGAAGAUAACCUCUAGUGUUGAAGCAUCAUCUGCUCCUUUUGCAACCAACCUUGUCCCUACAAUUUCGGAGGUCAUGAAGUUGGUGAAAUAUUGUGGUGUUAAAGGAAAAAUUGUUCUCAUGCACACAACCCUAACUCUUAUAGUGAAGCCUUACUUUAGGGAAAUCUUCAAUGUUCUUGAAACAAAAGAAGGGAGGUUUGAUUUUCUGGAGAGGGAGCAUGAGAAGGAGAUGUUGAAGCACGUCUUGUGA